rnacentral:rRNA from 1 species
CCUACGAGAGGCAGCAGUGGGGAAUAUUGCGCAAUGGGCGAAAGCCUGACGCAGCGACGCCGCGUGAGGGAUGAAGGUCUUCGGAUCGUAAACCUCUGUCAGCAGGGAAGAACGGUCACUGUGCUAAUCAGCAGUGAAUUGACGGUACCUGCAAAGGAAGCACCGGCUAACUCCGUGCCAGCAGCCGCUGUAACACGGAGGGUGCGAGCGUUAAUCGGAAUUACUGGGCGUAAAGCGCUCGUAGUCGGUAUGUCAAGUCACGGGUGAAAUCCCCGGGCUCAACGUGGGAACUGCCUUUGAAACUGGCAAACUGGAGUGUGUGAGAGGUUAGUGGAAUUCCAGGUGUAGGAGUGAAAUCCGUAGAUAUCUGGAGGAACAUCAGUGGCGAAGGCGACUAUCUGGCACAUAACUGACGCUGAGGAGCGAAAGCGUGGGUAGCAAACAGGAUUAGAUACCCGGGUAGUC